CCUUUGGAGAACUAAAAAACUUGAGUAGAUUUAUUUGAAAAAGAGUUCGUUGAAUUAGGAA
rnacentral:sRNA from 12 species